rnacentral:rRNA from 1 species
UGGGGAAUAUUGGACAAUGGGCGCAAGCCUGAUCCAGCCAUACCGCGUGGGUGAAGAAGGCCUUCGGGUUGUAAAGCCCUUUUGUUGGGAAAGAAAAGCAGCUGGUUAAUACCCGGUUGUUCUGACGGUACCCAAAGAAUAAGCACCGGCUAACUUCGUGCCAGCAGCCGCGGUAAUACGAAGGGUGCAAGCGUUACUCGGAAUUACUGGGCGUAAAGCGUGCGUAGGUGGUUGUUUAAGUCUGUCGUGAAAGCCCUGGGCUCAACCUGGGAAGUGCGAUGGAAACUGGGCGACUAGAGUGUGGCAGAGGAUAGUGGAAUUCCUGGUGUAGCAGUGAAAUGCGUAGAGAUCAGGAGGAACAUCCGUGGCGAAGGCGACUGUCUGGGCCAACACUGACACUGAGGCACGAAAGCGUGGGGAGCAAACA